UACAGAGGUCUCAAGCGUUGUUCGGAUUCAUUGGGCGUAAAGGGUGCGUAGGCGGCGCGCUAAGUCAGGUGUGAAAUCUGGGGGCUUAACUCCGAAACUGCAUUUGAUACUGGCGUGCUUGAGGACUGGAGAGGAGACUGGAAUUCAUGGUGUAGCAGUGAAAUGCGUAGAGAUCAUGAGGAAGACCAGUGGCGAAGGCGGGUCUCUGGACAGUUCCUGACACUGAGACACGAAGGCCAGGGGAGCAAACGGG
rnacentral:rRNA from 1 species